CCCAGAAGCUCAUCGCCAGCAGAGUUUGGUCAAUCAGUCCUGGCGUUGGUGCCUUAACGGCCAGCUUUGAAGUGUACAGGGCAAUUUGACCCUCCCGGGAAAGUGGGCCGCAGGUCGCCGCCGCCAGUCAACAUUGCUCAUCAAUCUUCAAAAAGACAACUCAGUGCUGAAACGAGGGGCACACAUGGAAAUCCUUUCUUCAACUUUGAACAGGGCAGCAUUAUACAAACUUUGAAUACCUAAUGAGGACAUUCCAUUAGCUUUAAAGGGUGGUCAGAUUGCAAUACAACGAACGAAUAUACAGGGUGGGUCUCUCAUCCAUUCUUCUAUAAUUCCAACUAUGUUGAAGGUAAGCACUUUCAUACUUUUUUGCCUACUAACUCGACACAAUUCGACUGCGUCACGAAAAUUAGUGACUCGUUAUGUAAAACCUCUCUCAAGAUUUAUGCAGUAAAGACUUACUUGGCGUUUGUGUUGGUUAAAUUAUAUCUGCACAUAUCUUAAUUGUAACGGUAAAAACAAAUACAGUGUAGUGGGUACACAGAAAAAUGAGCAAAACUCAAGACAUAUGAGUGAUGAUUUGAUACUGUGGCAUCAGUAUUGAAAUCUGUAUGGAGUCUUUUCCUUUUUAAUGUUUGUUUUAUUUGUAACUGCAAGUUAUGGUCAUGUGCACACAUUCAAUAAAAUGUCUUUGAAAUACUUA